CUACAACAUGGGAGAAAAUUUUCACAACCUACACAUCUGACAAAGGGCUAAUAUCCAGAAUUGAGAUAUCAUCUCACACCAGUUAGAAUGGCAAUCAUUAAAAAGUCAGGAAACAACAGGUGCUGGAGAGGAUGUGGAGAAAUAGGAACACUUUUACACUGUUGGUGGGACUGUAAACUAGUUCAACCAUUGUGGAAGUCAGUGUGGCGAUUCCUCAGGGAUCUAGAACUAGAAAUACCAUUUGACCCAGCCAUCCCAUUACUGGGUAUAUACCCAAAUGACUAUAAAUCAUGCUGCUAUAAAGACACAUGCACACGUAUGUUUAUUGCGGCACUAUUCACAAUAGCAAAGACUUGGAACUAAACUUCUUUUUUUAUAAAUUACCCAGCCUCAUAUAUUUCUUUAUAACAAUGCAAGAAGGGGCUAACACACCUUCUUUUGA
rnacentral:lncRNA from 1 species